UCAUAACUUAAUUAAAUAUACCCAUCCUUUAAGACUUAUUCAAUAAGGGUACAGCCUUAUUGAAAAAGGAUACAACCUAAAACUCAGGUUAAUGAUUUCUUCUUCUAAGAGGAGCUAGUUGGCUUAAGAGCAGCCACCUUUCUAAUAGCGUCAAAGCUUUCUCCUUCUUAUUCUCUAAUACUUAUUUCCCAUCAGAACCCGAUCAUAUUAUUGAGUCAUCCUAUACUUUUAUAGAAGUGUUUAUGUUAGAACUAGUAACACAGAAUUAUUUCUCUCUAUGUAAGUGUAAAUCAGAUUGAAUACGUCACUGAUACUUACUCAGUAAUGAAAACAAUGUAGCAACUUCACUAGAAAAUCCUACUAUCUUUUCUGUUAACCUAACACAAGAACAUAAGAAAAAGAUUAAAAGACUAAGAAGGAACUCGGCAAAUAAGGAUCCCGCCUGUUUACCAAAAACAUCGCCUCUUGAAUAAUAUACUAGGUACUGCCUGCCCAGUGACUAUAUGUUUAACGGCCGUGGUAUUUUGACCACGCAAAGGUAGCGUAAUCACUUGUUUUUUAAAUAAAGACUUGUAUGAAUGGCUUGACGAGGAUCCAACUGGCUCCUCUGUCCAAUCAGUGAAACUGAUCCCCUCGUGCAGAAACGAGGAUUAACUCAUAAGACGAGAAGACCCUAUGGAGCUUUAAACUUAUAUCAACAAUUUUACCCCCUUUUCCUCUAACUGAACUAACAUUUAACUAAAUCUGCUUGAUUAAAGUUUUGGGUUGGGACGACCAUGGAGAAAAAAAAAUCCUCCCUGAUGACACCUAACUAAGAGCCUCAGCUCUAAGUAAUAAGAUACUUAACUUCUAUUGACCCAUUUUAUGAUCAACGAACCAAGUUACCCUAGGGAUAACAGCGCAAUCCAUUUCAAGAGUCCUUAUCGACAAAUGGGUUUACGACCUCGAUGUUGGAUCAGGGCACCCAAGUGGUGCAGCCGCUACUAAAGGUUCGUUUGUUCAACGAUUAA
rnacentral:rRNA from 1 species